rnacentral:rRNA from 1 species
UGCAGUCGAGCGGGGGAGAUUGCUUCGGUGAUUGACCUAGCGGCGGACGGGUGAGUAAUACUUAGGAAUCUGCCUAUUAAUGGGGGACAACAUCUCGAAAGGGAUGCUAAUACCGCAUACGCCCUACGGGGGAAAGCAGGGGAUCACUUGUGACCUUGCGUUAAUAGAUGAGCCUAAGUCGGAUUAGCUAGUUGGUGGGGUAAAGGCCUACCAAGGCGACGAUCUGUAGCGGGUCUGAGAGGAUGAUCCGCCACACUGGGACUGAGACACGGCCCAGACUCCUACGGGAGGCAGCAGUGGGGAAUAUUGGACAAUGGGGGGAACCCUGAUCCAGCCAUGCCGCGUGUGUGAAGAAGGCCUUAUGGUUGUAAAGCACUUUAAGCGAGGAGGAGGCUCUCUUGGUUAAUACCCAAGAUGAGUGGACGUUACUCGCAGAAUAAGCACCGGCUAACUCUGUGCCAGCAGCCGCGGUAAUACAGAGGGUGCGAGCGUUAAUCGGAUUUACUGGGCGUAAAGCGUGCGUAGGCGGCUUUUUAAGUCGGAUGUGAAAUCCCCGAGCUUAACUUGGGAAUUGCAUUCGAUACUGGGAAGCUAGAGUAUGGGAGAGGAUGGUAGAAUUCCAGGUGUAGCGGUGAAAUGCGUAGAGAUCUGGAGGAAUACCGAUGGCGAAGGCAGCCAUCUGGCCUAAUACUGACGCUGAGGUACGAAAGCAUGGGGAGCAAACAGGAUUAGAUACCCUGGUAGUCCAUGCCGUAGACGAUGUCUACUAGCCGUUGGGGCCUUUGAGGCUUUAGUGGCGCAGCUACGCGAUAAGUAGACCGCCUGGGGAGUACGGUCGCAAGACUAAAACUC